CCUCAGAAUUGCUAAAUUGUCUGUACACACACACACGCACACACCAAGUAGGAGCAUCACAGCUUACACAGGGGGCAACACAGCUUACACAGGGGGCAAGGACAUGUACCUGCCUGUCUUGGCUCACCCCACCCCCACCUCUGCAGGCAGAAGUCCAGGGAAAUGCAACCUGAAGAACCGGAUUUCACUCAGGCCGAGUCACCCCAGGGGUGCCUUGUGGUGCAUUAAAAUAGCCUUUUAAAACUCUACACAGCACUGCAUUGCCAGGGUUCCCUAGAGGAAUGGAACAACUUCUAGCCCAGGUGAGAGCUGGGAAGUGGGCUGAUGAGAGUUGGUCGGCAGCUCGGCGGCUCUGCGGCUCUGCGGCUCUGAGAUCUGAUCCAGCUUCAAGCCCGAUGACUCUACACCAGGGCAGGUGCACAGCCUUAAAACUCCUCAAAAUCGGGGGCAAAGAAAGAGACUAAGGAGCCCGCACACGCAAGCUCUGGCUGGCCAAUUGUUCAUCCACAAGACUCUGAAACGGCCUUGCAGACACACCCCAUGGAUGAUAACUGUCAGCACCUAGUGAGGCCAAGAGGUGGGCAUGCUUCAGUGCCCCACAGCCCUGUCACCUGGGGACCCACAUCAAGAGUGCCUCUGCGUAAAAUGCCUGGCCAACGCCUUCCCCAGUAGUUUUGAGUUUGGUUACUAUGGUGCAGCCCAAUCCAUGGCCAGUGGAACCUUUCUAGAACAAUUGGAUGGACUGGCACAGGCACAGCUCGUUGGCUCCUGCAGGGACCUCUGUUUACUGCUGUCUGGACAGAACUUCUUCCAGGUCAUCCCAGGCCCCUGCUCCUCCAGACAGAAGCCUUAUG